CACACAUCUGAAGCAUCUAGCAUCCAGCUCUGGGACCAGGGACACUCGGAGAAAGGACACAGAAAGAAACAGAGUGAAUGUAAUGCAAUAAUGGUAUAUAUAGUAAAUACAUAGGUAGUUAGAGAAGGGCUCAGUGCAUCAAGAGAGGUUCCCCAGCAGCCUAGGCCUAUAGCAGCAUAACUAGGGGCAAACUAAAGGGACGUCAAGAGGGGAAGUCAGUUGUGCAAAACGAGGGAAAAAGGUAUGCAAACCUGGUUCUUUUUCUUUGACACUUCAAAUUUAAUUGUCAAUGAUGUAAACCUGUGUAAUUUCAUUUUAGAAGUCCGAGGACCGAUAGGGAAGCAUUGUGUUGCCCUGGUUUUCUGGUAGAAACCCCCUUCCUUGGUCAGGUCUUUUUGUGAUGCAAGAAAGAAUCGAGAAAUACCAGUCAUCCCACAAGGCGGACUGGCGAUCCAUUUGAUGGCGAGCCUCCCAUGACGAACUGUGGAAGUCCACCACACCGCUUAGCAAGUGGAUCUGGUGGUAGGAUCGUGCAAAUCUUGUUGUCCAACAACAAGAUACCCUUCCUGCAUACUUACUCAUGACUUUUGACUAUUCCCCCUGACUUUUGACUUGAACAAAUCUUGGAUCGGCAAAGAUCAGUACUCAUAAGGAACACUUUGAAAAAGACAAUUUAUUUCAUUUUUUUUGUUAUUGGGCCCAUGGUUCUGUGCACAGUAUUUUUUGUACACUGUUAAAAAUAAUUUUUGCAAAACUAAAAGUUACAACUUUACCACUUUAAA